AUUGAACGCUGGCGGCGUGCUUAACACAUGCAAGUCGAGCGGUAACAGGUGUAGCAAUACAUGCUGACGAGCGGCGAACGGGUGAGUAAUGCUUCGGAAUCUUCCUCGUAGUGGGGAAUAACCUGGGGAAACUCAGGCUAAUACCGCAUACGAACUACGGGGGAAAGCAGGGGAUCUUCGGACCUUGCGCUGACAGAUGAGCCUAUGCCGGAUUAGUUAGUUGGUGAGGUAAAGGCUCACCAAGGCGACGAUCCGUAGCUGGUCUGAGAGGAUGAUCAGCCACACUGGGACUGAGACACGGCCCAGACUCCUACGGGAGGCAGCAGAGGGGAAUAUUGGACAAUGGGGGCAACCCUGAUCCAGCCAUGCCGCGUGUGUGAAGAAGGCCUUCGGGUUGUAAAGCACUUUCAGCGGGGAGGAAAGGCUGAUGGUUAAUACCUGUCAGCUGUGACGUUACCCGCAGAAGAAGCACCGGCAAACUCCGUGCCAGCAGCCGCGGUAAUACGGAGGGUGCGAGCGUUAAUCGGAAUUACUGGGCGUAAAGCGCGCGUAGGCGGUUAUGUAAGCGGGAUGUGAAAUCCCCGGGCUCAACCCGGGAACUGCAUUGCGAACUGCAUAGC
rnacentral:rRNA from 1 species